ensembl:lncRNA
CACAUCCGUUUCCCACAUGUAGGCCUUUCAGAUGUUUGGGGGCAGCACACAGACCCUCUGUCCAUGUCCUCUCUCUUGGCUAAGUGUCCACAGUCCCCCAGACAUCCCUCCUGGGGUCUGCUUUCAAGUGCGUUCAUCAUCCUGGCUGCUGACCUCUCAUCUGUGGCCCUCUUCAGGUGUGGCCCUCCUCGGGUGUGGCCCUCAGAGCUGAUCUCGCUCCCUGGACUUCUCUGGACAUGCCUGUUGCUUCUGUGGCCCCAUUAUCCUCCAGGCCAGUUAAGAGCUGUGGCUGCUGUUGGCAUAGCUGGUGGUGGCUGCUGUCUAAUUUCUCACUCAGCCCUACCUCUUUUGCUGCGUGGAACCAAACUGCGAUGGAGAAGCUCCUGGUCUAGCCCACUGUGGCAAACAAUGUUUGUCUUGAGAAUGGAAGCAAGCUGGGCAGCAGAAUGGAAAUCCAGUGUUAUUGGCAGGUCGGCUCAGGAUCAUUGCUCCAAUUCCUGGGGCAGCUGGGAGACAGAAGUGCUGAUGAGGAAAAUCUUAGUUGGCCCUGUGUCAGGUGAAGAGCAUGAGGCCAUGUACAAAAUCUGAAGACGAUUACUGCAGAACCCCAGCAUGCUUCAGGGAGUACUGUGGUCUCCAAGCCUGUCAGAGUCCCUUGAGAGGCAAUGCUGGGCCCCUCCCAGACGUCCCCCAAAGCUGGAGCAUGUUGGUUUCUGUUCUUCCACCUGGCACUGAGCUGUGGCUCACAGACAUUUUGCAUCAUUAGUUCCAUAUGCUGUUAUUUGGACAAAUUUAAGCUGAAGCAUAUUCCUGAAUGCCUGUAAGUGCUCAUGUUUAUCACUACAGCUCUUAUUCUGGCAGCAAAAGCUGCGUCAAAUGGUGGCCCUCUAAUAUCACAGGACCGAGAAGCCGAGCAGAAUGGCAACAUGCAGGCAGCAUCCCAGGGUGUGCCCAGGGUGCAGAACCCACCUCCAGCAGAGUGAGGGAAAGUCUUUUUUUGGUACCUUGCAUGGCCCAGGCACUGUGCUAGACUCAGGGGACAUAACCAGGGACAAGACAGACCCAGUCAGGCCCUCCAGAGAGCAGCGGUCCUCAGAUGUUGGCAAGCACCAUUUAAACACGAAGAUAUGUGGGCCCCAUCCCUCAGAGUUGGAGUCACUGGGUGUGGGGCAGCGCCUGGGAAUCUGCAUGUUCAACAUCCUUCUGCGUGACUGUGAAGCAGAGGGUCAGGUGACCGUGGUUUGAGAAAUACCGGCCUGGGGCCUCACUACUCAGAGCAUGGUCUGUGGACCUCUCCUCCCCCCGUCAGCAUCCCCUCAGAACUGGUUAGACAUGCAGAAUUUCAGGCUCCACCCCACCCCUACUGAAUCAUAAUGGGCAUUUUAAGCUGAUUCCCAGGAGGAUGUGUGUGCAGGUUAAAGUUUGGGAAGCAUUGCCAGUGCAAGGUCCAAGGGAGCUUUUUACCCUGCUUCUGUGUUGUUUUGAUAAGAGAACGAAUAUAUUCAUGUAUUACUUGGUAAUUAAAAAUAAAUUAAUGAAAAACUUGGCAUAAACCAGGAAAAUCUUGUACAGGAACGUUCAGAGCAGCUCUCUCCAUAAUGGCCCCAAACUGGGAACAGCCUAAAUGUCCAUCGCAGGUGAAUGGAUAAACAAAAGGCGGCAUAUUCAAAAAAUGGAAUACUGCUCAGCAAUAAAAAGGAACAACAUACAACAAUAUGGAUGCCAGUGCAUUGUACUAAGUGGAAGGAGCCUGACCCGAAAAGCUACAAGCAAGGUUGGGAUUCUGGUUGCUUCAACUCUAUGAGGUCCUCAGUCUCCACCUCUGAAAAAUGGGGAUGAUCCUGGCUCCCAGGGCUGUGGUGGAGAUCAGCAGGGUGCCAAGUCAUCUCACGCCUCUGAGCCUUGUUCCUCAGCUGUAAAAUGGACGUAAUAAUAGGAUGAUCCCCACAGAGCGGAGCUGAGAGGUAAAUGAGAUGGAAAACGUGUCCAAAUCAGUUUUAUCACCAUCCCGGCGCUUGUUUCAUGAAACGCAGCAUUUCCAUUGAAGCUCCCCGCAGAAUCACUUCUGUCAGCCACCAGCCUUGUGAAAGGAGCGAAUGCAUUUUCUGUGUCCAUAAUCACCCCUCUGUGGGGAUGAAGUCGAUUUCAAUGACUGUCUGAUAAAGGAAUAACUCAGCAUGAAAAAAAAAUUAGAAUUCCUGGAAACCCUAGAGGCAAAAGGCAAAAGAAAUUGGAUCUGAUGAAAACCGAGAUCUUUUUAAAAGGAAAGCUUUAUUAUUAUUUUUCGAAGACAAAACUGUAUUUUAAAACAGUAGGUUGGUUUAUCAACAAAUCUCUAUUUAAGGAAUUGAAUACGGAACUGAUUAUACGGCUGGCAAAACCUCACUAUUCAGACACGUUCCGAGACCGGUCUGAUUUUGUGAAAGGGCUGAAGCAGUUUGAAGCUUGUGGUUUUGUAACUCUGACUUGUUAAUUACCUUCGUCUCAGACUAAGCGGAGAGACUCAUUCUUUCCGAUUGUGACCUCGGGAGCUGGGGGGAGCUCCCAGCAACAAGCUGAUACAGACGGUUUGUAAUUAGUGUAUCAACUGGUCAAUAUUAAUCAGCCACUUCCGGGUGUUUGCACUGUUUACGGUACAGGAGGCGCUUUCCCUUCUUUUCCUUUCUGUGGACUGGUCCCUGUUGGUGUUGACACAGCUACCGAAGAGUCUGAACUCCCCCCUCGCAGCUCCGUGGUCCCCACGGCACGUCCCACGUCCAGAUGUGGCAACUGAGGCUUAGGGAGGGGCGUGCCUUGCUCGAGGUUUCAGAGCUGAACUGUGGCUAGAAUGCAUCUCCUUGGGACUCCCGGUCCAUUGCUCUUUGUGAUGUAGGUCAAAGCACUCGGCAUAUGACAGUUAUGUUAUCAAUAAAAGAAGAGAUGC